AUACGGAGGAUGCGAGCGUUAUCCGGAUUUAUUGGGUUUAAAGGGUGCGUGGGCUGUGCGUUAAGUCAGGGGUGAAAUGCCGUCGCUCAACGACGGAGCUGCCCUUGAUACUGGCGUGCUGGAGUACGGAUGCCGUUGGAGGAAUGAGUGGUGUAGCGGUGAAAUGCUUAGAUAUCACUCAGAACACCGAUUGCGAAGGCAUCUGACGAAUCCGUCACUGACGCUGAGGCACGAAAGCGUGGGGAUAGAACAGGAUUAGAUACCCUGGUAUUCCACGCCGUAAACGAUGAUGACUAACCGUCGGCGAUAGACAGCCGGUGGCCAAGCGAAAGCGAUAAGUCAUCCACCUGGGGAGUACGUCGGCAACGAUGAAACUCAAAUGAAUUGACGGGG
rnacentral:rRNA from 1 species